CCAGGCUCCAAGGGCAGAGGUCUUUCACCUUGAUGUUAGAAGUUCCAAGUGGAACAGAGGACAACAAGUGCAGAAGGUGCUCCCUGAAAAUCUUUUGUUUAAUCUUUUUUAAAGAGCAACACUUUUUUGUUUCAUUUAACAUACACUUUUAUUGAGGACUUUCAACGUGCCAGGUACUGCUACAGGUGUUGGAGUCCACGGUGAACCAGGUGCCCACCAAGACACUGCAGCCUAGAGGGAUACCUUUGAAGAUCAAGAGAGUUAAAACUCUGACCUUGGUGAAAUAAUCUUCGGUUGCGGCAGGAAAUGUUAAACAGGUCUCCUGAAUAAGAGCUACAGAAAGUGUCCACAUUCUGCGGAAAGCUGAUGAAGAAAAAAAACCCUCCUCGCACUUCUCUCCCUAUCCUCAAAUUAACCGAAGUUUGAUUAUGGCUUUUAUGUCUGAAAAGGAAAAAGCAUCUAUUUUAUUAAGAUGUUCACUAGUCAAUAAUAAUGUGACAGAAAUCUACAGAGCACAGGCAGGGGAGAGGUUACGAGGAGGCUGCCACCACACAAUCUUGCUCUGGAAUCCUGGGCCUGCUCUGUCCCUGUAAGGGCAAACCAACAGACACAGUCCUUUCCCUAUGGAGCUUUUGUCUUAGUAGGGAAGACAGUCCACUAAUCAAUAAACAAAGAA